UGCGGUGUCCGCUGUAACUCACAACGUUCCCCCUCGUUUACUUUGUGAUCGAAAAAAAUAUAUAAAUCUAUAUCUGGAAAAACCCAAUCCCUUAUAAAGGAAAUAAAUGGAACUGCUGGAAGUGUCGAUUCGUUCUGCAGAGCCAACUGUGCUCAAAAUUUCUAUUAAAUAUCUAACGACUUUUUAGCAGAAUUCAUUUGUAAGCAGAACACAGCUGAUUGACCGGUGUGACCGUACUUAGUUUCCUGUUGCCUGGCCACACUCUGUCACUAUAGGUUGAACCAGGAACCACUAACAAUACAGUAUAUAGAUGUGCCAGUUCAUACAGCGAACAUGUCGCACAUCGAACACAUGAAACUGGAUCCCAGGUUCUUCGGCUCUGGCGUUCGGCUACCGCCGCGUCAUCAAGAGCCAAGCAACGCUUUGCAUGUAACUGCAUACAACAAUAGAAUACAACACAAAACUGAUCAACACAAGAAUAUAAAUAAAUAUAAACAAAAUGAGGUUAAUUCAUAGCUUGUUGCCAUUGGUUUUUAAUCAGCUACAGAAAAUCACGGAUGACCGUGACAAAGUGCCACAGCGUGUUCCGUUUCCGUUUCCGAAUUUGACAUUGACUUUGCUUCCAAAACGAAUCCUUGUCUGUCGGUCAUGCUUUGUUUUUUAUGUUUCGAUAAUCUACUCCGCUCAAGUAUCAUUCCAAAAUUGUUUGUUCUGUCCGAGAAAAAUAGCUUGUUCAGCUUGAUAGUUAUAUGAGCGGCUGGACGAGAGCGACUACCUUCAUUCUCAGAGCGGAGAUUCAACGUGUCUCCCACUCCAGCUGCGACUGAUCACUUUCCAAGAAUGGGUGGACUUCCUACUGCACGUCAACAAACUCAUGGUCGGCACUUGAAGAGGAGGCAAUCGGAAAGGUCAUGUCGGUCAAUGGGGAGCAACAACAGACGCUGGACGAGAACCGAAACUUGCCCAAGGACCAAGGACUGCACAAUCAUCAAGUUCCUACAGAAUGCCUUUCACCGGAACAUUUGGGACACGGACAGCUGUUGACUGGAGACCCAACUGUCCACCAGUUCCCGGACAUAUUCUGCGAGCAGCUUCAUCCGAUUCCGGCAGGCCUCCACGGACUGGAUUUGAUGUCUACUGUGCAUAAAGUAUCUUCAGAAUUUGGCUCUCUUGCUCAUCUUUCACAGAGAGUUUAUCCAGAAAGCAAGAAGCCAAGAAGCAAGCAAGAAGAAACAAGCUAUUAAUUGACCUCAUUUUGUGUUCUAUUUAUUUAUAUUCUUGUGUUGAUCAGUUUUGUGUUGUAUUCUAUUGUUGUAUGCAGUUACAUGCAAAGUGUUGUUUGGCUCUUGAUGACGCGGGGGUUAGCCGAUCGCCAGAGCCGAAGACCCUGAGAUCCAGUUUCAUGUGUUCGAUGUGCUGUAUGAACUGGCACAUCUGCAUAUGUAUGUAUAUACUGUAUGGUUAGUGGUUGAAACCCGUCCAAUAAUAUAUUAUCUAUACUAUAAUGAGUUCUAUCAUAGGUUCUAUAUAAUUAGAAUUAGAAUAAUAAUUUCUUAUUCUCAAAUGGAAAAUAUUACAUUUUCUGUUAAAUAAUUAACUUAACAUGUGAUAAGUUAGAAGUUAGAAAUUCAAUCGCUUUGUGUUUUAAAGCGGCUGUAAAGUGACCUAAAGUCUUGAUACGUACUGUAAUCAGAGGGAAAUCGGUGUACUAACAAUUUUUUGUACAUUAUCUUAUCUAGAAAGUACACCCAUAAGAGAGGCCAAUGGAGCGUCGACAUUAGUAAUUUUUAUUAUUUGUAUACUCUUGCAGAGGAUAGCAUAAUGCUGCCCCCCGCAAUCUUGCAUUGUGGAAAUUGAAGCACUCCCGACACUCUCGAACUGCUUUGGCUUUAAAGGAACUGCUUGUUUGAGCAUACCGCGGCGCACCCCUCUGUUAGCUUUCGUACUUUCUUCUGUUAUCAUUAUUGAUGAUACUAUAAUGUGUAAUGGGCUUAGAAACCCACAUAGUACAUAGUAUAAUGCACAUGUAUAUUUAUGUAUGUAUGACUUUAGAUUAUGUUCGAUAAUCUAAACGAUAGUCUACGAAGAAAUGCUCUCUACGAGCGUAUUGUAUAUUCUUUAUUGUGAGAAGUCCGCACUAUUAUCUGUUUUAUGAUCAUCUCCACAGUUUCAAUGUAAAAUACUGGACACAUUUUCUCAGGAGAUUAAUUCUGUAACUACAACUUCACAAACUUUGAUUAAAAGUCUUUCGUUUUGGAACAAGGACAGUUUCCUGGACUUGAACUUGCGCCUGAUCGGACCUCGAGGAUUCUCCAAGUCCAGUUCCACGAUCUGCCUAAACUAUUCCCUUUUCGAUUCCACUACUAGGACGAAAACCCAAUACAGAAAUACGACGACUAAGGCUUAUCUCAACUGGCAGAUGCAGAAACAAACUAAAGGUAGCAAUAAGAUGGGGCUAUAUCUUUAAUCAGUCAACAAUUAAAUUCGUUUCACGUUUUCUGUGUCUCUUUCCUCCGCUGGAGGCAGGAUGCAGAGUAAUUUAGCUUAUGGAGAUACUCAAAACAUGAUCAUUACACACACUUAUGAGACUCUCGAGACUCUUCGGGGACUGACUGGCUCUCCUGCUGCUUUAGUUGCCACACACUUGUGAGACGAGCCACGCCCAAGGCACCGGCAGCGGCUCCAAAGACCUUCAGUGGCUUACUGCUUCCUGACUGGGCCAGCAAAACGGAGCCCAUUCCGAUCAGACACAUGCCACUGAAGCAUCGUCGGGGCAAAGGAUCCCGUUCUCUGCGGCAAAAUAGCAGAAUCAUUUCGUUUUUAUACCCGAUACUCAAAAUGAGUAUUGGGGUAUAUUAGAUUUGUGGUAAAAGUGGAUGUGUGU